rnacentral:rRNA from 1 species
UAAUUGUUUUUUAGGUUAUGAUCCGAAUGGGCGAUGUAAGUUGUGGCCCGGAGAAGGGCAUUGAGAUAAGGGUUCUAGCCCUAUGGGGCGUAGUAGUUAUGAAACCUCACUAAUGCGCGAAAGCGCGAGUGGGCCAAGCCGAGUGAUGGGGGAUAAUUCCAUUUGUGGCGGAUCCGUAAUAUGGACCGCUAGAAAGGAGAGGGCAAGGUUGGUGUUAGUUGCUGUGGUAAAAUUAGCUCUUCGAGUGGUGUCCAUGAUUAUUGAGCUUAAAGCGUUCGUAGCCUGCUUGGUAGGUCCCUGCUUAAAUCCGGUCGUUUAAUGGUCGGUUUGGUAGGGAUACCGCCUUGCUUGGGGACGGGAGACGGCGACGGUAUUCCAUAGGUAAGGGUGAGAUUUAAUGAUUUAUGGAGGAUCACCAGUGGUGAAGGUGGUCGUCGAGAACGUGCCCGACGGUGAGGGACGAAACCCAGGGGAGUAAAUUGGAUUAGAUAUCCGAGUAGUUUUGGGUGUAAACGAUGCCCGUUAAGUGUUGCAUUGGCCAUGAGCCAUUGCGGUGCUGUAGCGAAAGUGAUAAACGGGCCGCUUGGGAAGUACGGUUGUAAGAUUGAAAUUUAAAGGAAUUGGCGGGGGAGCACCACAAGGGGUGGAGCUUGCGGUUUAAUUGGAAAUGCUGGAAAACUUACCCGCCCAGACAGCCGAAUGAGAGUUAGAUUGAUGAUUUUGUUUGAUGAGCUGAGAGCUGGUGCAUGGCCAUCGUAAAUUCGUGCCGUGAGGUAUCAGCUUAAGUGCUGUAACGAAUGAGAUCCCUGCCACCUAGUUGCCAGCCGGGAGUAUUGUUCUGACGGGGCACACUAGGGGGACCGCCAGCGAAAAGCUGGAGGAAGGUGGGGGCCACGGUAGGUCAGUAUGCCGCGAUAUGGGCGGGGCCACACGCGUGCUAUAAUGGCAAGGACAAUGUGUUAUAAUAUUGAAAGGUGAAGUUAAUUGUGAAAUUUUGUCGUAGUUGGAAUCGCGGGUUGGAAUUUACCCGCGUGAACCUGGAAUUCCUAGUAUCCGCGUGUUAUUAUCGCGCGGAGAAUACGUCCCUGCUUUUUGUAUAUAUUGCCCGUUGCUCCAUGUGAGCGGCCUUGAGGUGAGGUGUCGUCCAUUGGGCGAUGACGAAUCUUGGGGUCGCAAGUAGGGAGAAGUUGUAAUAAGGUA